CGAAGGUCCCUCCUCCUCCUCCUCGCUCUCGCGCGCCUCAGGGCGGCCGCCGCCUCUCACUCGGCUUCUCUCCCCGCCUCGCUCGCUCGCUGGGCGGCGCGCGAGAGCAGAGCGCAGGUCCCGCCGCCGCUUCAGCUGGUUGGUCGGUCGGCCGGCCUCUCGAGCGGCUCCUUCGUCACUGGGACAACCGGCGGCCCGCUAUUGCCUCACAAUGGCACUCUCAAAUGAUGAUGAAGCUCUUAUUAACAGAAAGUUACCAAAAGAACUCCUUUUAAGAAUAUUUUCCUUCUUGGAUGUAAUUACCUUGUGUCGAUGCGCACAAGUUUCUAAGUCUUGGAAUGUGUUGGCCCUGGAUGGGAGUAACUGGCAAAGAAUAGACCUUUUUAACUUUCAGACAGAUGUAGAGGGCCGGGUCUUAGAAAAUAUUUCCAAAAGAUGUGGUGGGUUCCUGAGACAACUGAGUCUGAGAGGCUGUCUUGGGGUUGGAGAUACUUCUUUAAAAACAUUUGCACAGAACUGUAGAAACAUUGAACAUUUGAACCUUAACGGAUGCACAAAAAUUACUGAUAGCACUUGCUUUAGCCUUAGCAAAUUUUGCCCCAGGCUAAAACAUCUGGAUCUGACAUCUUGUAUUUCCAUCACAAACAACUCUUUGAGAAGUUUAAGUGAGGGAUGCCAAAAUCUGGAACUCUUGAAUCUUUCCUGGUGUGAUCAGAUUACAAAAGAUGGCAUUGAAGCACUGGUGAAAGGGUGCAACGGACUAAAAGCACUAUUUCUUAGAGGAUGCACACAGCUGGUAGAUGAGGCGCUUCACCACAUUGAGACUCAUUGCCAUGAACUGGUUAUCUUAAACUUGCAGUCAUGCAUGCAAAUAUCGGAUGAAGGCAUAGCAGGUAUCUGUCGAGGAUGUCACCAACUCCAGUCGCUUUGUGUUUCUGGUUGUACAAACCUUACAGAUGCUUCCCUCGUAGCACUUGGUCUGAACUGUCCAAGACUGAAGAUUCUGGAGGCUGCAAGGUGUUCCCAUCUCACUGAUGCUGGUUUUGCACUUCUAGCACGGAAUUGCCAUGAACUAGAAAAGAUGGACCUAGAAGAAUGUGUUCUGAUAACAGAUAAUACGUUGAUACAACUUUCCAUUCAUUGCCCUAAACUGCAAGCAUUGAGCUUGUCCCACUGUGAACUGAUCACGGAUGAUGGGAUUCUGCAUCUGAGCAGCAGCACAUGUGGACAUGAAAGACUCCAAGUACUCGAAUUGGACAACUGCCUUCUAAUCACAGACGUGACCCUAGAACAUCUUGAAAAUUGCCACAACUUAGAAAGAAUUGAAUUAUAUGACUGUCAGCAAGUAACCCGUGCAGGCAUCAAAAGAAUAAGAGCUCAUCUACCAGAUGUGAAAGUUCAUGCUUACUUUGCUCCAGUAACUCCGCCUCCUUCUGUAGGAGGCACUCGCCAACAACUCUGCCGAUGCUGCAUUAUUCUUUAGCAGGGUAUUGUCCCUAGAUCUGGAAUCAUAAGCAGACCUUGACAUCCCAGUCAUAGUCUAGAGAAGCACCAGAUUUUCCAGCUCCAAAUUCUUCCAGUGAGGUUCCCUUUCUGGCAUUGUUCAGAAAGCUGGUCAGUGCUGAUUGAUCGACACCCUUGCAAGCAUACUCAGAACAGUUUUCAUACGUGAGUAGCAGAAAAUGGGUGGAAAGCUUCUGUCCAAACAAAAGGAUAUCAGCACCACCUGCACUUCAGUAUUUGCAAGUAAGGAAAGAUACAAUCAUUAUUGGAAAAUGUUUUUACUGAAAUUGAAAUGUAUACAUCUUAUUUAAAAACAAAAAGCAAUUUGCUGGUGCCAUAAUUAAAUCCAAGUGAACCAAACUACUGUACAGCUUUUAUAAUUUAGUGACAUUUUUCAGAUUCUCCACAGAUUAGAAAAAUGAGAUGAUGCAUCAAGUCCAUUGAAGACACCCGAGUACAACCAAAAUAAUUUAUAGGCAAGAAAAACUCAAAACAAUUAAGUAUGCUCACAAACUCUACUCUCCUUCCCCAUCAGUGCAGAAUAGUCCAGGUCAUGGGGGUGGGGAGUAAGCCCUCAUCCUACUCUAGGAAUGAAACAACAUUCUUAACAUAAAGACUUAACCUAGGCAUAAUUAUAAAUGGGAAUGAAAUUAAGAACAGUAUUUGACAUGCUGCUCUUCCCACCUUCAAAUAUUCACUACAUCAGUUAAGAUUUUAGCUAUUUGAUUAAGGGGCAAGCCACCUACCAUGACGGAACAACCAGCAUUCUCUGUCUGAAUCUCCCACAAACCUGUAUUAACGCAGAGCAGACAUGUGCACCUGUCCUUGGAUAGUUCUCUGCUCUUCGGCCAACAUUUAAGGACAUUUUUGCAGCUCAUUCAUUAAGUUGUGCAACUGCUAAUCAAGUAUUUGGUUGUAUGGAAGAGGCACUGUAACUAUGGUUUUCCACAACAGAGAAAAAAAGCAACAAACAGUUCACACAUGGGAAGAUCCUGGUCUUCAACUAGAGCAGUAACAAAAAUCAAUGUUUGAUUUGUAGAUUCCUGCUUAAUGCUUUAGAAUAGUCCCUUGGUGCCAGUGACAUUCCCCUUUUCUCCACAAGGAAGUCCCAACUCACUAUUAAUAAUAGUGUGGUUCAAAAAGUGAAACAUUGAAAUGCUGCA